rnacentral:rRNA from 1 species
AACGAACGCUGGCGGCAUGCCUAACACAUGCAAGUCGAACGGAACCUUCGGGCCUGGUGGCGCACGGGGGGGUAACGCGUGGGGACCUGCCCUUGAGUUCGCAAUAACUCCCCGGAAGAGGUCCUAAUACCGGAUCAUAUCUUCCAACCAAAGAUUUAUGGCAUUUGGAUGGGCCCGCGUUGGAUUGGUUGGUUGGUAGGGUAAAAGCAUACCACGAGGUGGAUCCAUAGCUGGUUUGAGAGGAUGAUCAGCCACACUGGGACUGAGACACGGCCGAGACUCCUACGGGAGGGAGGAGAGGGGAAUACUGGACAAUGGGCGAUAGGCUGAUCCAGCAAGGACGGGUAAGUGAUGAAGGCCGUAGGGUUGGAAAGUUCUUUUACCCGGGACGAUAAUGACAGUACCGGGAGAAUAAGCUCCGGCUAACUCCGUG